UCCCUGAUAGCUCAGUUGGUAAAGAAUCUGCCUGCAAUGCAGGAGACCCUGGUUCAAUUCCUGGCUUGGGAA
rnacentral:tRNA from 1 species